GAACACAAGCACAAUACUGGAAAUCACCUAUAUCAGACUGGAACACAAGCACAAUACUGGAAAUCACCUAUAUCAGACUGGAACACAAGCACAAUACUGGAAAUCACCUAUAUCAGACUGGAACACAAGCACAAUACUGGAAAUCACCUAUAUUUGACUGGAAUGACCUAUUGCUAAUUUGUCAAACACUUAUCCAGAGCAACUUAGUCAAUGCAUUCAACUAAGGUGGGUAAGAAAACCAAAAAUCCCAGUCACUGUAAGUAAACUAUUUAUUUUACAUUUAAUUUAACACUACUGACCUUUAUCAUUUCUCAAAUAUAGACAUUCAGACUCAAAUAGUUCACGUCGUCUAGUGACCCACCAAAUAAACAACGCUUCUAAAAACAGUUGUUGUAAUUGUGAAUUGGCACGUGGCUGAGGAAAUUGCAACAAAAACAUAAACUUGGCUAACACUAGCCCUGCUGAUGUAAAAAGUUAGACCAACUCAACUGUUUUUUUCCAGCCAAGAGUUAAACAUCACCCUUAUUAACUGUGAUAAAGAUGUAGAUUGAUAACAGAGAAAACAUCUACGCUGUUACAUUAGAGAUUCAAAGGUCUCCUGGUCAGUACAGGUGAGUGUCUAUCGCUUGUCGUCUUAGGAACAGGUAUCACUUGUCGUCUUAGGAACAGGUAUCACUUGUCGUCUUAGGAACAGGUAUCACUUGUCGUCUUAGGAACAGGUAUCACUUGUCGUCUUAGGAACAGGUAUCACUUGUCGUCUUAGGAACAGGUAUCACUUGUCGUCUUAGGAACAGGUAUCACUUGUCGUCUUAGGAACAGGUAUCACUUGUCGUCUUAGGAACAGGUAUCACUUGUCGUCUUAGGAACAGGUAUCACUUGUCGUCUUAGGAACAGGUAUCACUUGUCGUCUUAGGAACAGGUAUCACUUGUCGUCUUAGGAACAGGUAUCACUUGUCGUCUUAGGAACAGGUAUCACUUAUUGCCUUAGGAACAGGUAUCACUUAUUGCCUUAGGAACAGGUAUCACUUAUUGCCUUAGGAACAGGUAUCACU